ACAAGCGGUGGAGCAUGUGGUUUAAUUCGACGCAACGCGAAAAACCUUACCUGGGUUUGACAUGCCGAGUACCGAUGGAAACAUUGGGGUGCCCCGUAAGGGGAACUUGGACACAGGUGCUGCAUGGCUGUCGUCAGCUCGUGCCGUGAGGUGUUGGGUUAAGUCCCGCAACGAGCGCAACCCUCACCCUUAGUUGCCAUCAUUAAGUUGGGCACCCUAAGGGAACUGCCGCAGUUAAUGCGGAGGAAGGUGGGGAUGACGUCAAGUCCUCAUGGCCCUUAUAUCCAGGGCUACACACGUGCUACAAUGGACGGUACAAAGGGUCGCGAACCUGCAAAGGGGAGCUAACCCCAGAAAACCGCUCUCAGUUCGGAUUGGAGUCUGCAACCCGACUCCAUGAAGUCGGAUUUGCUAGUAACGGCGCAUCAGCUACGGCGCCGUGAAUACGUUCCCGGGCCUU
rnacentral:rRNA from 1 species